rnacentral:rRNA from 1 species
AGUGACGCUGGCGGCGUGGCUCAGACAUGCAGUCGAGCGAGAAUAUGCCUUCGGGUAUAGGAAGCGGCAACGGGUGAGUAAUACGUAAGUAAUCUGCCUCUAAAACGGGAAUAGCUUGGUGAAAGCUGAGGUAAUGCCCGAUACCAACUUGUUUCGCAUGAAACAAGUUUGAAAGGUUUGUAAUGACGUUUAGAGAGGAGCUUGCGGCCUAUCAGCUUGUUGGCGGUGUAAUAGACCACCAAGGCUAAGACGGGUAGCCGGUCUAAGAGGAUGUACGGCCACAUUGAAACUGAGAUACGGUUCAACAUCUACGGAUGGCAGCAGUUUCGAAUUAUUCACAAUGGGCGAAAGCCUGAUGGUGCGACGCCGCGUGGAGGAUGACGUCUUCGGAUUGUAAACUCCUGUCGUUGGGGAGUAAAAGCUGGUGAAGAUCAGCCUGAGUUAACCCAAAGAGGAAGCAGUGGCAACUCCGUGCCAGCAGCCGCGGUAAUACGAGACUGCUAGCGUACUCGAUUUACUGGGCGUAAAGGCUGCGCAGCCGUUUGUGUGUUGGGUUUGUAAGCUAUGACUUAAUUAUAGUAAGGCUCAAACUGCAUAACUAGAGUCUCGGAGGGUAGCGGAUUCAGGGUAGUAUUGAAUGCUAAAUUCUGGAAAACCCCAAGGCAUGCAGCUACUGGACGAAACUGACGCUCAGGCCAAACCGUGGGGAGGAAGAUAAUCCUUGGAGUCCAGCCGUCCUUGACCUACUGGCGUGCAUCGGUCGAUCAGCUACGUAUGUACCUGAGAACUCACCCAGGUAACUAAGAUAGCGGACCCACCGUGGACUGGCUAUAUCUGACGCGGGACUUCUAUCUUGCAGUAGAGAGCGGAUGAAGUUCUUGGCUCUCACCGUGUGGUGUUCGCACUCUGCGGAUGCUGUAUCGGCAGGACGCUUUCAUAUUCGUGUGUCUGAUAAUAUAGUUGAAUGCAUAGC